GGGAGCACUGGUGAUCUGAUGCCUGUAGGAGGGAGACAGAGGGCGCUUCGGAAUUGCCCCAUAUAGGAUUCAAAAGUCUCUGCAUCAGCUAGGUGAACUGAUGAGUUGAGAGGAAUGUGGCGCCAUACUUCUUUGGCAAAGGGGCACUGGAAGAAUAUAUGGGUAGCUGAUUCCUCUUUCUUACAGCGGGGGCAAGCAGCAGCAUUGAUCAUACCUCGACGUUGGAGUUCUGAUCCUAGAGCCAGUCGAAUUCCAGGUUAGGAGGAGGAUUUGAGGUUCUCUGUUGCAGGUGUGUGUGUGCAUUGAGCUGGGUUUUAGAGUUGUAACCCGACUUAGUGGAGUAGACACCAGACUCAAGGGGGAGCCACACGUAAAUAUCCUCUGCACCUUCCUUGCUUGGCUUAAGACACUGGAUCUGCUUUGUAAAGUCUGGUGUUCUUGGAGUAGGUCUCUACCGUGCAAAAUGCUCCUCCAUCCAUGCGAGCAAACUGCUGGGGUCUGUACAUCCAGGAAGCUUUUCUUAUGGCAAUACUUCCCGGUGAGUACUCUAGCUAGAAGGCAGUGUGGUGAUGUUAAUAUUCUCCAAGCUACUUUUGCAAGUAACGCUUGAUUAAACCGUUGGAUAUCUCGCAACCCAAGACCUCCUGCCUUUUUUGGUCGUAGGCUCUGGGGUAGUAUGAAGCAAGACAUUGCAUAGGUUGGGAUAGCUGUAAGGACCGCUUUGAGCAUGGUGAGCUUGCCUGCUCUCGAGAGGAAGCGUGUUGACCAGUUCGCAGCUCUCUGUCGGAUUCUAUCAACUAUCGAGUAUCCGUAGUAAGGCUAGGCAGCUUUCUGAAGUUGAGUUGCAGAAAAUCAUUGUAUCGUCAGCAAAAAGUAGAUGAUUGACUCGGGGGCAGCCUCUAGCAACUCGAACUCCCCGCAUUGAUCCUUCUAACUCCGCUUUUCUGCAAAGGCCUGAGAGGACCUCUCCGCAUAGGAUGAACAAGUACGGCGAGAUCGGAUCUCCUUGCCUGAUUCCACGGAAUAAAAGCGGAUUGGUUCUCUGAGAUUAUGGAGCAAAGUAUGGGUUUCAGGCGCAAGGAUAGGAGCUUAGAGAUGACUUUAUAGUACACAUUGCACAAAGCUAUAGGUCGGUAUUCAUCCACUCUUUUCGCUCCUAAUGUCUUAGGGAUCAGCCUAACAUGAGUCACAUUCAAUGUUGGUGACAAUACGCCCGUGGAGAAGAACUCUUGGAUCUCAGUGAUGAUCGAUUGGCCGAUGGUCUCCCAAUUUGAGUGGAAGAAACUUGCUGAGAACCCGUCAGGCCCGGGAGCCUUAUCUGCGUGGAUUGCAAAGAGUGCUUCUUUUAUUUCAGCCGGUGAUGGGUCUCUGUGAAGAGGUUGUCAUAGUAGGAACAGACUAACGCUGAGAUUUGGUCUUCUUCAUAGACAGCUUGCACCAUUUACAAAUUGCUCUGCGGACUAAGACGAGUCUAGCCUCUACUCCAAGGUAGGAGAGGAUAGGGCGGUGAUCAGAUCCCUCGAAUUUAAGAUAUUGACAGCGGCAGGAGGGGAAGAGCUCCAUCCAUUCUGGGUUGCUCAUAGCUCUGUCGAGGCGACAUCUAACAAGGUGUGCACCUCUUUUACCCCUCCAAGAGAAAGGGUUACCAGAAUGUUUGAGAUCAAACAGGUCAUUUUCAGAUAGGAAUGUUCUGAAGGCUCCAAAGGGUGUUCUCUGACUUCUUGCACCCGGAGAGUGUUAAUUUGGGCAGGUUCAACACUAUAAGGUGGGUCAAAGCCUAGAUCUUCUUCUUCUCUUGGGAUGGGGGUGAAGAUUUGGUCUUGACGUAGUCCCAUAAGAGACCCCUCUCCCGGUGGGCUUAUUGACUUGAUGCCUUGCUCCCAAGGUGAAAGCGGGCGUCUCGGGGUUGUUUCCGAAGCUAGGAUUGAAGCUGCUGUCUUUUCCACUAAGCCUGACGCCUCACUGUUAAGGACCCGUUGUCUCCUAGCUGCAGCUUCAGUAGGAUCUGAACAGCUAAGGCGCUAGGUAGUUCUCUCGGCGGCCUUGGGCUUUUAGCAGUGCAGCUGUGGUCUCUUCUACCUGGCCUCUAUCAUCUCCAAACUUUACUCUCUGCCUUCUGGCUGCUGCCUCUGUGGGGUCUGAGCAGCUCAGGUACAGCAUAGUUGCUUCGUGAAGGUCCUUUUGAAUUUCCUCUUCAGUUUGUUGUCCCUCUGAGCUUUGGUGGUAUUGGAGUUGUAGAGGUUCGGUUCUGGAGUCACGACGCUCCAAAUGAUUUGAGCUAUCUUUUUGUGCUUCAGGGACCGUUACUGUCGUAGGUUUUACUCUCCAUUCUUUGAGUUCCCUUUGUGGGAAAGGGGCCCGCUUGUAGUGUUCUCUUAUUGCAGCUGGUUCUCUUCUUGUUGUGUAGGAAGGAGAUGAGUAGAUCACGGGUUCCGGUUCUUUGAGGUUAGAAUCUUUCCUCCAAGUUUCUGCUAUAUCGCUUUUGGACAUCAUGUUUUUUGUGGGAGGUGGAACUCUUGUUUGUUUUGUAGCGACUCUAGUACCAAAGCUAUUGCCAUGUCUGUCAACUCUAUCUUUGAAAGGCCUAGGGCUUCUGGUUUCUCUGGUCGUAGUCCCCUGCUUUUCUCCCUCACGAUGCAAUGAGGUGUGAUCUUGUUCCAUGUUGCUGUAGAGGAGGGGUCUGGCAUUAGAAAGAUCUCUCUCGCUCAUCUCUCUCACCUUUGUUUCCUGGUGCUGAGUUGUAGCUUGGUUAUCUCCUGUGAAGCUAGGACAAUCUUUCUUGAGAUGGGAGAGGGCAUUGCAGAGGGAGCAGUGGUUCUCUAGGCGCUCGUAUUCCAGAUGAAUUAAGCUUUCCUCUCCAGAGUCAAACUCGACGAUGGAUUUUUUAACCAAUGGUUUAAGUCCAUCGACUAGAACCUGGAUUCUCGCCAAGGUUUUUGUGAGCUCAUGAUUCAUGAGUGUUCCCAGAUCCUUCCCUAUGUCGCGCAGCAUAUCUUCAUGCCAGAAGUGGAGGGGUAGUCCUUUUAUUCGGAUCCAGAACGGGAUCUGCGAGGGGAAAGUCGCUGAGAUGACUGGUUCCCAUCGUUGGAGUAUGACCAUCCAGUACGCAAAGUGGUAGGGUCUGUUUUCCAGAACUCGCUUUAGAUCUUCUUCUCUUUCAAAUCUGAAUUGGAAGCAGCCAUUUCCCAGAUCUGAGCCUGAUACUCUCCCUUGUAGUUGCCAUUUGCGUGGGAGGGCAGGGAUAAGAGCCCAAAUUCUCUGUUCCUGAGGGUUAGUGGUUCUUCCAAUCAGUGUGAGCGCAUUAUCUUUGAUGAGAGCAGAGUUAUCAACGUAGGGCGCCUUGAUUCGUUUGAUAAGAGGUUCAUCUUUCUCUACCAGUUGGUUUUUGCCUUUCUCAUCCCAUGUCAAUCUUCUUGCCAUCUUUACUUUUCAGUAAUCUGGUGAGACGGAAGUCUUGUUCUGCACGGAAGUGGGGAUGUUAGAUACCAGCUUGACGUUUCUUGAGUGUAUUAGAUGCUAGAUGCAAAAGAAAGCCGUAGAUCUGUGGAGUAAAACUUGUUGAGGCAUGAGGUUUGAAAAGAUGAGCUUCGUGGAGGAUGCUACUUGAGGUAAAGAAGUAGGGUUUUCAUCAAAGAGCCAUGAAGAAACCGAUGAGAACUUUCCGGUUUGAGCAAAGAUACGAGUAGUCACUGUCCUGCUUUCAACCGUUGUCUAAAGUCGUCUCUCUUACUUUGGGAAUAGUGCCUGGGAGAGUCCUUUCUCACCGAGG